AAUAGAUACCCCGGUAGUCCACGCCGUAAACGAUGAGUGCUAAGUGUUAGAGGGUUUCCGCCCUUUAGUGCUGCAGCUAACGCAUUAAGCACUCCGCCUGGGGAGUACGGUCGCAAGACUGAAACUCAAAGGAAUUGACGGGGGGCCCGCACAAGCGGUGGAGCAUAUGGUUUAAUUCGAAGCAACGCGAAGAACCUUACCAGGUCUUGACAUCCUCUGACAACUCUAGAGAUAGAGCGUUCCCCUUCGGGGGACAGAGUGACAGGUGGUGCAUGGUUGUCGUCAGCUCGUGUCGUGAGAUGUUGGGUUAAGUCCCGCAACGAGCGCAACCCUUGAUCUUAGUUGCCAGCAUUAAGUUGGGCACUCUAAGGUGACUGCCGGUGACAAACCGGAGGAAGGUGGGGAUGACGUCAAAUCAUCAUGCCCCUUAUGACCUGGGCUACACACGUGCUACAAUGGAUGGUACAAAGGGCUGCAAGACCGCGAGGUCAAGCCAAUCCCAAUAAACCAUUCUCAGUUCGGA
rnacentral:rRNA from 1 species